ACACCUCAACUCUCAUGGUCCGCCAUGAUGAGCUUGGACUUUGGGGGUCUUGCCGGACCAGCGUCGGCUCCUCUAAAAUGGAUCAGCUUGCCAGUGUUUGGUGGCGUCACAGGUGUGAUAACUAUCUACGCUUGUGGUUCCCCGCCAUGUAACCUUCAGUGAUGGAGGUCCGCUGGAGCUCACAGACGUCUCUCCUCGUGAGGACAGCUUUUUGAAC
rnacentral:misc_RNA from 1 species